GCCUGUGUUCAACCAUGUUUCAUCUAGGUAAUAUAUUUGUCUACCUAACUGACGGUAAUGUCUCAUAGUUUCUAGAUAUCUUCGGCGCCAACACACUAUAUCAUUCCGUUCGAUUAAAAAGCUAUUACGAGACUUACGGACAUACUCGAAAUUCAGAUGUUUCGUUGGACGGUUGGGCCAAAACUGAACAAGAACGCUCACAGUCCGUUGUCCGAUACCACAUUCUUCAGAUAUUUGUUUUAUAGUUUCCUCCGCAGUCAAUUUUGGCCCAUCUCCAAUUCCCUGCAGUG